GACGAACGCUGGCGGCGUGCUUAACACAUGCAAGUCGAACGGAAAGGCCCCUUUGGUGGUACUCGAGUGGCGAACGGGUGCGUAACACGUGAGUAACCUUCCCUUGCCUUCGGGAUAACUUCAGGAAACUGGGGCUAAUACCGGUUAGGAAUCCUUUCUGCAUGGUGGGGGUUGGAAAGCUUCGGCGGUUUUGGAUGGACUGGCGGCAUAUCGGCUUGCUGGUGGGGUAUUGGGUUACCAAGGCCUUGACGGGUAGCCGGCCAGAGAGGGCGACCGGCGACAUUGAGUCCGAGGGACGGCACAGGUACCGAAGGGAGGCAGCAGGGGGGAAGAUUGCACGAUGGGCGCAGGCCUGAUGAAGCAACUCCGCGGGCGGGAUGACGGUCUUAGGGUGGUAGACCGCUUGCAGCAGGAGCGAAGCUUGUCUUGACGGUACCUGCAGAAGAAGCACCGGCUAACUACGUG
rnacentral:rRNA from 1 species